rnacentral:lncRNA from 1 species
ACCACUGUUGGGAGUUGGACUACAGACUCAGGUCUCUAGUCAGCCCAGGCAGACCAGUACCCCAGGAUCCUCCUCGUUUAUACCCAAUGCUUCCAGAAUGUUCUUUUCUGCUUCGUUUUGGUUGAGGGGAGUGGAGAAACAAUUUCUUCAAGAGAAUUCUUCUUAUUAAAGCCGGGGGUAGUCCUGCACACCUUUAAUGGUAGAACUCAGGAGGCUGCUGCAGGAGGAUCACAAUGAGUUACAGGACCCUUGAAAGCAAACUCCCCUUCCGCUUCCCCACUGGGGACACACACCGCGGUGACACACAAGCUGUCCAGAGCGCAGUUCUGAUGGACGCUUCAGAAGCGUACUUUCUUCACACUUUCAUUUGAAGAUUUCUAAAGCAACGGCUUGAAAACAGUCUUAUACCACACACACACACACAUUUUAAGAUGGUCUUAUUAAAUUAUUAAAUUAUGUAUCCUUGGUUGGACUG